CCAGACGCGUCGUCACUCCUCACCCACCAUUCCAGUGCCGAUCCAACCGAGGGAGAGCAUCCUUGCUGCCCUUCUCCACCGUUUCUCUAUCGCCGGUCGCGAAGAAGAUGAUGGCCACAUUCGUUGAUGAGCCACGCGGUUGAGCGGGAACGCCACCGUGCCCACAAACGCCCUGGAGCGCACAACGACGACCGCUGUCGGGUUCUCGUCGUCGUUCUAACCAAACCGAACCACCCCAAGCCGAACCCUUGCGCCACCAGAAUCGCCUAGACGUCCUCUUCAAGAUUCUCCAAGAACCUCAUGGAUCGGUGAAUCGAGGAGGGAUAUCGGCGUCAUCUUCUCCAUCUCCGGCCGCCGACAUCGAUCUUCGAUUCCUUGAUCCCGGCCCGGAGUCCGGAUGGUGGUUGUCACCGUUGGCAUGCCGAUUUCCGCCGCCGUCGGGACAUCCUCUGCAUCGUCGUCGCUGUCCAGGCCUACCCGUACCGCGUCCGAGCUUUGGUUUUAGAUUUAGUCUGUGAGUGAUGCGCGUAAUCGACUGCUUCGCCUAGGAUUUGAACAUAAUGGGGUAAACUCCUAGUCGGUGUGCUUGUGGAUUGGGUAGACAAGCUUCCGCUGUUCUAUAUAUUUAUUUGGCCGGUCGGCCUAUGUAUCUCUAAGUUAGUUGUAAUUUUAAUCGCUUUCAUCUUUA